rnacentral:rRNA from 1 species
GAUGAACGCUGGCGGUGUGCCUAACACAUGCAAGUCGAGCGGCCGGACGGGAAGCGCGCGCUCUUGCGGUUGGCGGCUGGCGGGCGGGUGAGGCGUGGAUCAGCUUCCUCUUUUACGGGGGUGAUUACGGAGAGCCAGUGCCGCUAAUGGCGCAUACUACCUACGGCUUGAAGCAAGAGAUCUUCGGACCUUUCGCGUUUCAUAGAGCCGAUGUCGCAUUAGCUAGUUGGGGAGGUAAGGGCCCACCAAGGCGACGAUCCGUAGCUGAUCUGAGAGGAUGAUCGGCCACACUGGAACUGAGACACGGUCCAGACUCCUACGGGAGGCAGCAGUGGGGAAUAUUGCACAAUGGGCGAAAGCCUGACCCAGCAACACCGCGUGGGUGAUGAAGGCCUUCGGGUCGUAAAGCCCUGUUGUUGGGGAAGAAAAGAAGUAGGUGUAAACGCGCAUGUCUUGACGGUACCCAAACAAAAAGCCCCGGCUAACUUCGUG